rnacentral:hammerhead_ribozyme from 1 species
AUCCAGCUGACGAUUCUCAAAUAGGAUGAAACGCGCGUCCUGCAU